UGAUGAUAGCCGUCCAGAGGUUAAUGGAUCAGUAUUGCUGGAAACAGAAUCUACUGAUUCUGUCACAUUGUCUGUUCUUGCUACAGAUACAGGGUCUGGAGUGAAACAUGUUGAUAUAUUUGAACUGCAAGGCAAUAGUUUAAGCUUGCUCCAAGGUGGUGUUACGGAGAAUAUUUUCUUGUAAAGUUGAAGCUAGGAGAGUCAAAACGAUUACUUCCAGUAGCCAUUGAUCACGUCGGAAACCGACCAAAACUCACAGAAAUUGAAAAAGAAAAUGCUAUUAAUGUGACAUCUACAAUUCAGAGUGGUACUUGUGAUUGUUCUGGACACGGCAACUGCAGUGCAAGAAUGCAAGUUUGUCUAUGUGAUGAAGGAUUUUACGGGCCGUCCUGUAAUUCCACUUCCCCACCACCAGAACCUCCACUGCUGGAACUUAAAUCUAAGGCAGGAUUUAUAACGAACCAGUUGAACUCACAAUAUCAGCAAGAAUCUUUCUGGAUGUUUAGAUGAGAUUCAGAUUUUCCUGUCCGGGAUGCCAGAUGGUACGUCAUUUUCGAAAGGCAUAGUUCAAAAUGAUAGCACCAUCCUACUUUUGAGUACCGAUUUUGGACAGCUGAAUAUGACCACAAAUAGCACAGGCGAACAUAGUUUGAAAAUCCUUGUGACCCAGUUUACGAAUGGAACAAACUUCACUAGAUCCGGUGAACUUCAGAUUAUGAUUUAUCCAAGAUCGAAAAUGCCUCGUUCGAGUUUGAUGGUUGUUUCUCAGAGGACAGUAAGGGUGAAAUAGUGGCCCGACUCAAUUCCUCAGUCAUUCUUCUCUCAGUGAACAACAG